CUGGAUUCCACCAUUGAGGAGUUUCUUCUAAAAUCUGUGAAAGCAUCCAAGUUCCCAUCGGGAUAAGCUCUGGUUAUCAUCUUUGCCAGCUGCUACAGGUUCUUAAGCAUAUAGGGGACCUCAUCAUAAUCUGUGAAUAGAGGAGAAAGAGAAAUCUGCAAUUCAGGGCAAUUAGCCUAAGAAGGUUAAAUAAAAACCUCAGUCCCCAGCCUCUUGCUUGGCUC
rnacentral:lncRNA from 1 species